GUCGUGCAGAUCCUCGGCUCGUGUCUGGCGUGCCAGCUGGUUGAUCGAGCUGGGAGAACGGUUAAAGACAGGCUCAGAACAGCAUUUAUCCCGUUGGGUUGGGAUCCUCACUGCUGUGGAGAGUAGUUAAUCAUGGUCAAAUUAAUGAUAAAAACUGGAUUCCGAGCAAUCACGCACAACGUCGCUUUCCAACCACAAACAACAAUGAAAGGAAAACAAUUAGUUUAGGCUCAACAUGUGCAAGAUGUAAAAGAAGUCAAAUGCGAAGAUCAUAUAAGACGUACCAUUGAAGCUCGUGUAAUUCGUCAAACUUCUGUGACAUCGACGCCAUACACAACAUCCUUCAAUAUGUAGCACCAGCAAAUUCGACCUCGAUCCAAAAUGACCACAACGCGUAACGCAGGUAGCAGAUCCCGCCGGCCCUGCC